rnacentral:rRNA from 1 species
CACGGGGGGAGCAAGCGUUGUUCGGAAUCACUGGGCGUAAAGAGCUCGUAGGCGGUGUGUCGCGUCGGCCGUGAAAACCUGCAGCUUAACUGUGGGCUUGCGGUCGAUACGGGCAUCACUGGAGUUCGGCAGGGGAGACUGGAAUUCCUGGUGUAGCGGUGAAAUGCGCAGAUAUCAGGAGGAACACCGGUGGCGAAGGCGGGUCUCUGGGCCGAUACUGACGCUGAGGAGCGAAAGCGUGGGGAGCGAACAGG